UAAAUAAAUCAAUAAUAAUAA
rnacentral:piRNA from 1 species